rnacentral:rRNA from 1 species
AGGCCUAACACAUGCAAGUCGAGCGGUAGAGAGGUGCUUGCAUCUCUUGAGAGGCGGCGGACGGGUGAGUAAUGCCUAGGAAUCUGCCUAGUGGUGGGGGAUAACGUUCGGAAACGGACGCUAAUACCGCAUACGUCCUACGGGAGAAAGCGGGGGGAUCUUCGGACCUCGCGCCAUUAGAUGAGCCUAGGUCGGAUUAGCUAGUUGGUGAGGUAAUGGCUCACCAAGGCGACGAUCCGUAACUGGUCUGAGAGGAUGAUCAGUCACACUGGAACUGAGACACGGUCCAGACUCCUACGGGAGGCAGCAGUGGGGAAUAUUGGACAAUGGGCGAAAGCCUGAUCCAGCCAUGCCGCGUGUGUGAAGAAGGUCUUCGGAUUGUAAAGCACUUUAAGUUGGGAGGAAGGGUAGUAACCUAAUACGUUGCUACUUUGACGUUACCGACAGAAUAAGCACCGGCUAACUUCGUG